rnacentral:misc_RNA from 1 species
GUAGGUGAACCUGCGGAAGGAUCAUUAACAAAUCAUUUGUAGCGGUCGGGAGAGAGGGAGACCUUUUUCUCUUGACUUGCUCACAUAAACCCAAACCCGUGCAGUAAUGCCGGGUGCGGUGUGUAGGUGCUGGGGUGGGUGCGAUGGCGCGAGUCGUCCUAUCCCCCCUCCCUACGCGGUGAAGGACGCAAGUCUGGAUCCACAUAGACGCUUGUUUUUGUUUGACAGAGUUAUGAAGUAUCAUCUAAAU